GAUGAACGCUGGCGGCGUGCCUAAUACAUGCAAGUCGAGCGAAUGGAUUAAGAGCUUGCUCUUAUGAAGUUAGCGGCGGACGGGUGAGUAACACGUGGGUAACCUGCCCAUAAGACUGGGAUAACUCCGGGAAACCGGGGCUAAUACCGGAUAACAUUUUGAACCGCAUGGUUCGAAAUUGGAAGGCGGCUUCGGCUGUCACUUAUGGAUGGACCCGCGUCGCAUUAGCUAGUUGGUGAGGUAACGGCUCACCAAGGCAACGAUGCGUAGCCGACCUGAGAGGGUGAUCGGCCACACAGGGACUGAGACACGGCCCAGACUCCUACGGGAGGCAGCAGUAGGGAAUCUUCCGCAAUGGACGAAAGUCUGACGGAGCAACGCCGCGUGAGUGAUGAAGGCUUUCGGGUCGUAAAACUCUGUUGUUAGGGAAGAACAAGUGCUAGUUGAAUAAGCUGGCACCUCGACGGUACCUAACCAGAAAGCCACGGCUAACUACGUGCCAGCCGCCGCGGUAA
rnacentral:rRNA from 1 species